UGGGAGUGCUCGAAAGAGAACCAUUACACAGGUGCUGCAUGGCUGUCGUCAGCUCGUGUCGUGAGAUGUUGGGUUAAGUCCCGCAACGAGCGCAACCCUUGUCAUUAGUUGCUACGAAAGGGCACUCUAAUGAGACUGCCGGUGACAAACCGGAGGAAGGUGGGGAUGACGUCAAGUCCUCAUGGCCCUUAUGGGUAGGGCUUCACACGUCAUACAAUGGUACAUACAGAGCGCCGCCAACCCGCGAGGGGGAGCUAAUCGCAGAAAGUGUAUCGUAGUCCGGAUUGUAGUCUGCAACUCGACUGCAUGAAGUUGGAAUCGCUAGUAAUCGCGGAUCAGCAUGUCGCGGUGAAUACGUUCCCGGGUCUUGUACACACCGCCCGUCACACCAUGGGAGCGGGUUUUACCAGAAGUAGGUAGCUUAACCG
rnacentral:rRNA from 2 species